CAUUGCUAUGAUUGAAUGUCUUUCAAAAUUUAUGGCAUGUAGUGUUAUAAAAAAUGUGAAUAAAAAUGGUUGAAAUUUAACUGAAUGAAUUUCUUAAAAUUAAAGUACACAAAUCUAGGAAUUCUUAUUAAUAUGAUCCGAAGAAAGUCAAGAAACGAACAAAAUCUUAAUGAGAUAUGAGGAAUUAUGCUACAAAAUAAUAAAACUACAGAAUUAUCCAUGCUAGUAAUACUGGCCCUUUACGCAGUUAAUGAUUGUUAAUGUAUGAUACCCAGAAAUAAUGAUAUAAAGAUUAAUUUAUAAUAUUCCUAGAAGUGCUAAAAUAAAAUUUUAUUUCUGAA